AUGGCGCUCUCCGUCCGCCGCCAACCACGGUACAAGUUCGCCGCGCCGGUGCUGUCGCCAAGCUGCCUCCAGAAGCUGUGCGUCCCCUGGGAGUUCGGGGCGCGGCUCGCGGCCGGCGCCGGGGACGUGCAGGAGGUGCACGUGGUGGACCUGCUCGGCAAGCCCCGGCGCGUGGAGCUGUGCAUGCGGCCGCGACCGGACGGCGGGGUGGCGUGCUGGCUGGGCGCCGGCUGGCCGGAGAUCGUCAGGAAGAACGGCAUCGGCGAAGGGUGGUCCGUGGUGCUGCGGCGCGAGCGGCGCGGGAUGGCCACCCUGACCGCCUACGACCCGGCCUGCUGCCUCGCGGGCCUCUGCGCUCCUCCCGCAGGUGUGACGUCCAAGACCAGGCCUCGGUUCAUCAAGUUGCUUCGACCGGAUGACCGGGAGAAGAUGACAAUCCCUGAUGAGUUUGUGCAGCAGCACUUGAUUGGGGCUGAGAGUUGCCCAAGCAGCCAAAAAGCCUUGAUCAUUGGCCCUACCGGCAAGUUAUGGCCAGUCGAGCUAGAUCAGCGUCAAUCGGACGUGCUGUAUGGAGAAGUUUGGGCAGAGUUUCUGACGGCACAUGAUCUCUCCGAAGGGAACAUCCUGCUGUUCCGGUAUGAAGUUAACAUGUCGUUUUCGGUUCAGGUGUUCCUGCCGAAUGGGUGUAUGAAGGAGUAUCCUUAG
rnacentral:rRNA from 1 species